rfam:Mesocricetus auratus contig197539, whole genome shotgun sequence.
GGAUCGAUGAUGACAAGAAGUCUUUGAGGACGCUGAUCGAUAUGUAACUAUGCCAAUCUGAGCUCC